GCCCAAAAAUGCUAACACUCACUGCUGUCCGGUGAGAGGGCCCGGAGACGAGGGCUCUUCAUGGCUGACACAAGAGCAACAAGCAUUCCGUAGAAACCACACUUCACCUGGUGCAUGUUGACCUUCUUCUGGGCCAAGUGUAUAAAAACCUCUCUCCUACCACCUGACGCUGAGGGGCAUAGCACAAGGAGAAGACAGGAUGGCUUCAAGAUUUCCAGUGUGCAAAAAAUCCCAUUGUUUAUUCUAUGUUCAUUUUCACGAGUGGUCUCUCAUCAGAACUAAGAGUUCGUCAUUCUUCCCAAUCAGUGUGUGAUCCAUAAGUGUGGAGAGUGCUGGCCUACCUCAUUUUGCUCAUGACUUGCAAGGUUUACUUGAAAAGCUCUUAGGAGCACCCGUGAAUAAACAAGAAUGCAAAGU
rnacentral:lncRNA from 1 species